UACGAAGGGGGCUAGCGUUGUUCGGAAUCACUGGGCGUAAAGGGUGCGUAGGCGGGUCUUUAAGUCAGGGGUGAAAUCCUGGAGCUCAACUCCAGAACUGCCUUUGAUACUGAAGAUCUUGAGUUCGGGAGAGGUGAGUGGAACUGCGAGUGUAGAGGUGAAAUUCGUAGAUAUUGGGAAGAACACCGGUGGCGAAGGCGGCUCUCUGGACCGAGACUGACGCUGAGGCGCGAAAGCGUGGGGAGCAAACAGG
rnacentral:rRNA from 1 species